GGGUUGUGAGGUUAAGCGACUAAGCGUACACGGUGGAUGCCCUGGCAGUCAGAGGCGAUGAAGGGCGUGCUAAUCUGCGAUAAGCGCCGGUAAGGUGAUAUGAACCGUUAUAACCGGCGAUACCCGAAUGGGGAAACCCAGUGUGACUCGUCACACUAUCAUUAACUGAAUCCAUAGGUUAAUGAGGCGAACCGGGGGAACUGAAACAUCUAAGUACCCCGAGGAAAAGAAAUCAACCGAGAUUCCCCCAGUAGCGGCGAGCGAACGGGGAGGAGCCCAGAGCCUGAAUCAGCAUGUGUGUUAGUGGAAGCGUCUGGAAAGGCGCGCGAUACAGGGUGACAGCCCCGUACACAAAAGCGCAUGUGCUGUGAGCUCGAUGAGUAGGGCGGGACACGUGGUAUCCUGUCUGAAUAUGGGGGGACCAUCCUCCAAGGCUAAAUACUCCUGACUGACCGAUAGUGAACCAGUACCGUGAGGGAAAGGCGAAAAGAACCCCGGCGAGGGGAGUGAAAAAGAACCUGAAACCGUGUACGUACAAGCAGUGGGAGCACCCUUUGGGGUGUGACUGCGUACCUUUUGUAUAAUGGGUCAGCGACUUAUAUUCUGUAGCAAGGUUAACCGUAUAGGGGAGCCGUAGGGAAACCGAGUCUUAACCGGGCGUUAAGUUGCAGGGUAUAGACCCGAAACCCGGUGAUCUAGCCAUGGGCAGGUUGAAGGUUGGGUAACACUAACUGGAGGACCGAACCGACUAAUGUUGAAAAAUUAGCGGAUGACCUGUGGCUGGGGGUGAAAGGCCAAUCAAACCGGGAGAUAGCUGGUUCUCCCCGAAAGCUAUUUAGGUAGCGCCUCGUGAAUUCAUCUCCGGGGGUAGAGCACUGUUUCGGCUAGGGGGCCAUCCCGGCUUACCAACCCGAUGCAAACUGCGAAUACCGGAGAAUGUUAUCACGGGAGACACACGGCGGGUGCUAACGUCCGUCGUGAAGAGGGAAACAACCCAGACCGCCAGCUAAGGUCCCAAAGUCAUGGUUAAGUGGGAAACGAUGUGGGAAGGCCCAGACAGCCAGGAUGUUGGCUUAGAAGCAGCCAUCAUUUAAAGAAAGCGUAAUAGCUCACUGGUCGAGUCGGCCUGCGCGGAAGAUGUAACGGGGCUAAACCAUGCACCGAAGCUGCGGCAGCGA
rnacentral:rRNA from 2 species